AGGGCACCACCAGGAGUGGAGCCUGCGGCUUAAUUUGACUCAACACGGGAAAACUCACCCGGCCCGGACACUGGAAGGAUUGACAGAUUGAGAGCUCUUUCUUGAUUCAGUGGGUGGUGGUGCAUGGCCGUUCUUAGUUGGUGGAGUGAUUUGUCUGGUUAAUUCCGAUAACGAACGAGACUCUAGCCUAUUAAAUAGAUCGUUGGCUUACAAACGCCGGCGAGACUUCUUAGAGGGACAGGCGGCGAUUCAGCCGCACGAAACAGAGCAAUUAUUUUGUCUGUGAUGCCCUUAGAUGUCCGGGGCCGCACGCGCGCUACACUGAAGUGAUCAGCGUGCAUUUUGAAACCUACUCUGUCAAGAGUGGGGAACCCAAUGAACCUUCUUCGUGAUUGGGAUAGGGGAUUGUAAUUAUUCCCCUUGAACGAGGCAUUCCCAGUAAGCGCGAAUCAUAAGUUUGCGCUGAUUACGUCCCUGCCCUUUGUACACACCGCCCGUCGCUACUACCGAUUGAAUGUU
rnacentral:rRNA from 1 species